ensembl:lncRNA
CUCUGUUAUCUCCAGCUUCCUUUUUGCCCUUUGGUUAAACAUUCUCUUGGCAUGCAUGAUCUCAUUUAACUUUGAUUUCCUCUUUUUCCAGGACGGCAUCCUCGAUGGUUCCAAUUUCCAGCCCAUUCCCCAAUUUUCAACCCCAAUGACAGACAACACACGCUCGAAUGGGUGCUUUGCUAAAGAAGGGAAUUGUUUCACUUCCUGUGCUACCCAAAGAAUGGGCUGAGGACGCUGAUGCAGAACCGUGGAGGACAGAGCGAGGGAGUGCAAGAGAGAGAAGAGAUAGCAGGGAAAAGACAAAACAAA